rnacentral:rRNA from 1 species
GAGUUUGAUCAUGGCUCAGGACGAACGCUGGCGGCGUGCUUAACACAUGCAAGUCGAGCGCUGAAGCCUUUCGGGUGGAUGAGCGGCGAACGGGGUGAGUAACACGUGGGUGACCUGCCCUCAGCUCUGGGAUAAGCCUGGGAAACUGGGUCUAAUACCGGAUAUGACCUCUCAUCGCAUGGUGGGGGGUGGAAAGUUUUUCGGCUGGGGAUGGGCCCGCGGCCUAUCAGCUUGUUGGUGGGGUGAUGGCUUACCAAGGAGACGACGGGUAGCCGGCCUGAGAGGGCGACCGGCCACACUGGGACUGAGACACGGCCCAGACUCCUACGGGAGGCAGCAGUGGGGAAUAUUGCGCAAUGGGCGGAAGCCUGACGCAGCGACGCCGCGUGGGGGAUGACGGCCUCGGUUGUAACGU